CAUGUAAAAAUCGCUGGUUUUCAAGGAAACCAAUUUAUGUUUAAAUCUUAUAUGUUGUUUGUUCUAGAAUUCUUAACCGUUUUUGUAGUGGUUGUUUGAAGCCUGAAGAUGGCAACUGUCUGUAUUGCCGAAAAUGUUAGAGUUAUUAAAUCUGUUUUUUUUUUUACUCACAACUGUGAUAAGUGUUUGAUUAUUUAUGUACCCUUUUUCUACAUCUACAUCCUGAUGUUGAUGCGACCAGCAAUGCAAAUGACUUUUUAUGGGAUGAUUCUGUUGUGCACUCCCAUUAGAAUCAUCCCAUAUGAAGUCGUCUUAAAAUGUUUACUUCUUUAGCACUUCAAUUGGUAAAUAUAGAGUAGUGUAAUGUAGUGAAUCAAAGAAGUUGUCUUAAUCACAAAAGACAGUAUUGUCUUCAAUGGGACUAUAAAAAGAUCUUCUGGUGUAUGGAAAUGCAAACCAAGAUCAUAUCUUAGUCCUGAAAGGGCCACACAUUCACACAAAAUGUGAAGAGGAAUUUCAUUCUGUCCUGAC
rnacentral:lncRNA from 1 species